rnacentral:lncRNA from 1 species
AGCUGGUUGAAGUCUCCUUUUCGGUUUCUCUGUCUGCUGGAAAUUGCUGCAUGAAGGAAGCUUUGGCACAAAUUUGGGCAUGUUUUGUGCAUCGCAUUCUUGUUUGGGCACAAAUUUGUGUAAGUUUUUCGUAUCACAUUCUUGCUUAGGUAGAACAACCGAUGGCGGUGAAUCCAGCUGCUCCUUGCGCUCUUCAUUAUCGAGCUGCUCCUCAUCCACACGAGAACAAAUAUCAUCUUUCCGAGGAGUUCCAGAAGAGUUAAUCACAGUCUGGUAGUGGGUUGUCACGUAAACAAUCUGGUCCUCAACCAAUGAUGGCUCGUAUUCUGUUGCACCCUUGUCAAGCUGAGUUGGCUCUCCUGUGGCACCUCCUUUUAGACCUUCAUGGUUUUGAGAACUAUUAGCACUACCAGAUUUAAGAGGAGUAGCAAAAGACGAUCCAUUUGAUACGAUUUCAAUCUCUGGUUCCAAAUUAUUUGCUUCUCCAACAUUGUUUGUAUCAUCUUCUUCAGACUCGUGACUUGUGUUAG